rnacentral:rRNA from 1 species
AAGUUUUGAAAUUUAUAGUUUUGAAUGGAUUUUUUUGUUUUGGCAAGAGCAUGAGAGCUUUUACUGGGCAAGAAGACAAGAGAUGGAGAGUCCAGCCGGGCCUGCGCUUAAGUGCGCGGUCUUGCUAGGCUUGUAAGUUUCUUUCUUGCUAUUCCAAACGGUGAGAGAUUUCUGUGCUUUUGUUAUAGGACAAUUAAAACCGUUUCAAUACAACACACUGUGGAGUUUUCAUAUCUUUGCAACUUUUUCUUUGGGCAUUCGAGCAAUCGGGGCCCAGAGGUAACAAACACAAACAAUUUUAUUUAUUCAUUAAAUUUUUGUCAAAAACAAGAAUUUUCGUAACUGGAAAUUUUAAAAUAUUAAAAACUUUCAACAACGGAUCUCUUGGUUCUCGCAUCGAUGAAGAACGCAGCGAAAUGCGAUACGUAAUGUGAAUUGCAGAAUUCCGUGAAUCAUCGAAUCUUUGAACGCACAUUGCGCCCCUUGGUAUUCCAGGGGGCAUGCCUGUUUGAGCGUCAUUUCCUUCUCAAACAUUCUGUUUGGUAGUGAGUGAUACUCUUUGGAGUUAACUUGAAAUUGCUGGCCUUUUCAUUGGAUGUUUUUUUUCCAAAGAGAGGUUUCUCUGCGUGCUUGAGGUAUAAUGCAAGUACGGUCGUUUUAGGUUUUACCAACUGCGGCUAAUCUUUUUUAUACUGAGCGUAUUGGAACGUUAUCGAUAAGAAGAGAGCGUCUAGGCGAACAAUGUUCUUAAAGUUUGACCUCAAAUCAGGUAGGAGUACCCGCUGAACUUAAGCAUAUCAAUAACCGGAGGGAA